GAGACGUCAGGACACUCCACGACCGCGGUAACGUGCCCGUCAGGCUGUUGUUGGUGGCGCGAAUGGUGCUCAGGCUGGACACGAACGCCCACGACUCCGGCAAGGAGCCCGUGAGGUUGCGCUGGUUCAGCACCACCGUGGUGGGCUGUCCUGCCGUGCACGACACGCCCGUCCACGCAGCCGUGCAGGGGUCGCUGCUGGUGUUCCAGCCCAGAAUCGCAGCCGGCAACGGACUGGCCGUCACCCGCAGGUCCGCAAGCGCAUAGCCAAACGAAGGCGGAGGUGGAGACGGAGGCGCCGGCGAUGGAGGGGCAGGGCUGGGAGGCGCAGGGCUGGGAGGCACAGGAGGCGGAGACGGCGGGGACGGGCACGCCAGACCAACCUGCGUGCCGCUGCUCGUCACCGGACUGCCAGCAGCCCACGGCGUGGGGAUGCUGCCACACAGUGCGCCGUUAUUGUCCAGCCACAGGAGCUGCAGCGCGCCCAUGCCGCCAGGACCAGCCCAGGCGGCCGGAAUGGUCGAGUAGAAGCCGUUGCCCGACAGGUCCAGCUCCGUCAGACGCGUCAGCGCGGACCAAGACACAGGCAGCAGGCCGCCGAGGCCCGGCCCGUUGUUGGCCACGCUGACGUACUCCAGCUGCGUCAUCUGGGAGUACGAGUCCGGAAGCGUGCCCGUCAGCGUGUUGCCGCUCAACGUCACUGAGCGCAGCGUGCGCACUUGCACCAGGCUGGCCGGCAGGGGGCCAGCCAGCCGCGGCGAGGUGGACGGCAGGCUCAGGUCCACCACGUUGCCGCUGCCGUCGCAGCUGACGCCGUACCAGCUGGUGCAUGGGUUCGGAUGCAUCACGUCGUCCCAUGUGCUGAGCGCCGUGGAGUUGCCCAGCUCGUAUUUGACCUGCAGCAGCGCGUUGGCUGCAGUGGGCGGAGCGGGCGGCGCCGGGCUGGGCGGCGCGGGGCUGGGCGGCCGCGGGCUAGGCGGGUCCGGGCUGGGUGGCGUGGGGCUGGGUGGUGCCGGGCUGGGCGGUACAGGCGGCGCGGGGCUGGGCGGCACGGGCGAAGGGGGCGCCGGUGAGGGCGGAGGAGAUGGCGCUGGCGGCUCCGGGCUGGGCGGCAUGGGGGACGGCGGCUCUGGGCUGGGCGGUGCAGGUGAAGGGGGCGCUGGAGACGGCGGCACAGGAGGCGCAGGGCUCGGCGGUACCGGAGGUGCCGGUGACGGUGGCUCUGGGCUGGGCGGUGCAGGUGAAGGGGGCGCUGGAGGCGCAGGGCUGGGAGGAACAGGCGGCGCAGGGCUCGGGGGCGCUGGGCUGGGCGGCACAGGCGACGGAGGUGGGCUGGGAGGCGUAGGCGGAGGCGGCGGGCUGGGACACGUCGCCGGAAUCUGCGUGCCGUUGUACACAUACACCGCAGACGGCACCGCGCCGCACAUCAGCGAGUUGCCACUGAGGUCCACGCGGAACAGACCCGUCAGCACGCUCCAGCCAGAUGGAACAGGCCCGGUCAGCAGAUUCCCGCUCAGGUCCAGCGUGCGCAGGUUGCUCAGCGCAGACCACUCGGCAGGCAGCUGGCCAGAGUACCGGUUGCCCAGCAGCUCCAGGCGAGUCAGAGACGUCAGGACACUCCACGACCGCGGUAACGUGCCCGUCAGGCUGUUGUUGGUGGCGCGAAUGGUGCUCAGGCUGGACACGAACGCCCACGACUCCGGCAAGGAGCCCGUGAGGUUGCGCUGGUUCAGCACCACCGUGGUGGGCUGUCCUGCCGUGCACGACACGCCCGUCCACGCAGCCGUACAGGGGUCGCUGCUGGUGUUCCAGCCCAGAAUCGCAGCCGGCAACGGACUGGCCGUCACCCGCAGGUCCGCAAGCGCAUAGCCAAACGAAGGCGGAGGUGGAGACGGAGGCGCCGGCGACGGAGGGGCAGGGCUGGGAGGCGCAGGGCUGGGAGGCACAGGAGGCGGAGACGGCGGGGACGGGCACGCCAGACCAACCUGCGUGCCGCUGCUCGUCACCGGACUGCCAGCAGCCCACGGCGUGGGGAUGCUGCCACACAGUGCGCCGUUGUUGUCCAGCCACAGAAGCUGCAGCGCGCCCAUGCCGCCAGGACCAGCCCAGGCGGCCGGAAUGGUCGAGUAGAAGCCGUUGCCCGACAGGUCCAGCUCCGUCAGACGCGUCAGCGCGGACCAAGACACAGGCAGCAGGCCGCCGAGGCCCGGCCCGUUGUUGGCCACGCUGACGUACUCCAGCUGCGUCAUCUGGGAGUACGAGUCCGGAAGCGUGCCCGUCAGCGUGUUGCCGCUCAACGUCACUGAGCGCAGCGUGCGCACUUGCACCAGGCUGGCCGGCAGGGGGCCAGCCAGCCGCGGCGAGGUGGACGGCAGGCUCAGGUCCACCACGUUGCCGCUGCCGUCGCAGCUGACGCCGUACCAGCUGGUGCAUGGGUUCGGAUGCAUCACGUCGUCCCACGUGCUGAGCGCCGUGGAGUUGCCCAGCUCGUAUUUGACCUGCAGCAGCGCGUUGGCUGCAGUGGGCGGAGCGGGCGGCGCCGGGCUGGGCGGCGCGGGGCUGGGCGGCCGCGGGCUAGGCGGGUCCGGCCUGGGUGGCGUGGGGCUGGGUGGUGCCGGGCUGGGCGGUACAGGCGGCGCGGGGCUGGGCGGCACGGGCGAAGGGGGCGCCGGUGAGGGCGGAGGAGAUGGCGCUGGCGGCUCCGGGCUGGGCGGCAUGGGGGACGGCGGCUCUGGGCUGGGCGGUGCAGGUGACGGGGGCGCUGGAGACGGCGGCACAGGAGGCGCAGGGCUCGGCGGUACCGGAGGUGCCGGUGACGGUGGCUCUGGGCUGGGCGGUGCAGGUGAAGGGGGCGCUGGAGGCGCAGGGCUGGGAGGAACAGGCGGCGCAGGGCUCGGGGGCGCUGGGCUGGGCGGCUCCGGAGAAGGCGGCACAGGAGGCGCAGGGCUGGGAGGAACAGGCGGCGCAGGGCUCGGAGGCGCUGGGCUGGGCGGCACAGGCGACGGAGGCGGGCUGGGAGGCGUAGGCGGAGGCGGCGGGCUGGGACACGUCGCCGGAAUCUGCGUGCCGUUGUACACAUACACCGCAGACGGCACCGGGCCGCACAUCAGCGAGUUGCCACUGAGGUCCACGCGGAACAGACCCGUCAGCACGCUCCAGCCAGAGGGAACAGGCCCGGUCAACAGAUUCCCACUCAGGUCCAGCGUGCGCAGGUUGCUCAGCGCAGACCACUCGGCAGGCAGCUGGCCAGAGUACCGGUUGCCCAGCAGCUCCAGGCGAGUCAGAGACGUCAGGACACUCCACGACCGCGGUAACGUGCCCGUCAGGCUGUUGUUGGUGGCGCGAAUGGUGCUCAGGCUGGACACGAACGCCCACGACUCCGGCAAGGAGCCCGUGAGGUUGCGCUGGUUCAGCACCACCGUGGUGGGCUGUCCUGCCGUGCACGACACGCCCGUCCACGCAGCCGUACAGGGGUCGCUGCUGGUGUUCCAGCCCAGAAUCGCAGCCGGCAACGGACUGGCCGUCACCCGCAGGUCCGCAAGCGCAUAGCCAAACGAAGGCGGAGGUGGAGACGGAGGCGCCGGCGACGGAGGGGCAGGGCUGGGAGGCGCAGGGCUGGGAGGCACAGGAGGCGGAGACGGCGGGGACGGGCACGCCAGACCAACCUGCGUGCCGCUGCUCGUCACCGGACUGCCAGCAGCCCACGGCGUGGGGAUGCUGCCACACAGUGCGCCGUUGUUGUCCAGCCACAGGAGCUGCAGCGCGCCCAUGCCGCCAGGACCAGCCCAGGCGGCCGGAAUGGUCGAGUAGAAGCCGUUGCCCGACAGGUCCAGCUCCGUCAGACGCGUCAGCGCGGACCAAGACACAGGCAGCAGGCCGCCGAGGCCCGGCCCGUUGUUGGCCACGCUGACGUACUCCAGCUGCGUCAUCUGGGAGUACGAGUCCGGAAGCGUGCCCGUCAGCGUGUUGCCGCUCAACGUCACUGAGCGCAGCGUGCGCACUUGCACCAGGCUGGCCGGCAGGGGGCCAGCCAGCCGCGGCGAGGUGGACGGCAGGCUCAGGUCCACCACGUUGCCGCUGCCGUCGCAGCUGACGCCGUACCAGCUGGUGCAUGGGUUCGGAUGCAUCACGUCGUCCCACGUGCUGAGCGCCGUGGAGUUGCCCAGCUCGUAUUUGACCUGCAGCAGCGCGUUGGCUGCAGUGGGCGGAGCGGGCGGCGCCGGGCUGGGCGGCGCGGGGCUGGGCGGCCGCGGGCUAGGCGGGUCCGGGCUGGGUGGCGUGGGGCUGGGUGGUGCCGGGCUGGGCGGUACAGGCGGCGCCGGGCUGGGCGGCACGGGCGAAGGGGGCGCCGGUGAGGGCGGAGGAGAUGGCGCUGGCGGCUCCGGGCUGGGCGGUGCAGGUGAAGGGGGCGCUGGAGACGGCGGAACAGGAGGCGCAGGGCUCGGCGGUACCGGAGGUGCCGGUGACGGUGGCUCUGGGCUGGGCGGUGCAGGUGAAGGGGGCGCUGGAGGCGCAGGGCUGGGAGGAACAGGCGGCGCAGGGCUCGGGGGCGCUGGGCUGGGCGGCUCCGGAGAAGGCGGCACAGGAGGCGCAGGGCUGGGAGGAACAGGCGGCGCAGGGCUCGGAGGCGCUGGGCUGGGCGGCACAGGCGACGGAGGCGGGCUGGGAGGCGUAGGCGGAGGCGGCGGGCUGGGACACGUCGCCGGAAUCUGCGUGCCGUUGUACACAUACACCGCAGACGGCACCGGGCCGCACAUCAGCGAGUUACCACUGAGGUCCACGCGGAACAGACCCGUCAGCACGCUCCAGCCAGAGGGAACAGGCCCGGUCAACAGAUUCCCGCUCAGGUCCAGCGUGCGCAGGUUGCUCAGCGUAGACCACUCGGCAGGCAGCUGGCCAGAGUACCGGUUGCCCAGCAGCUCCAGGCGAGUCAGAGACGUCAGGACACUCCACGACCGCGGUAACGUGCCCGUCAGGCUGUUGUUGGUGGCGCGAAUGGUGCUCAGGCUGGACACGAACGCCCACGACUCCGGCAAGGAGCCCGUGAGGUUGCGCUGGUUCAGCACCACCGUGGUGGGCUGUCCUGCCGUGCACGACACGCCCGUCCACGCAGCCGUGCAGGGGUCGCUGCUGGUGUUCCAGCCCAGAAUCGCAGCCGGCAACGGACUGGCCGUCACCCGCAGGUCCGCAAGCGCAUAGCCAAACGAAGGCGGAGGUGGAGACGGAGGCGCCGGCGACGGAGGGGCAGGGCUGGGAGGCGCAGGGCUGGGAGGCACAGGAGGCGGAGACGGCGGGGACGGGCACGCCAGACCAAUCUGCGUGCCGCUGCUCGUCAC
rnacentral:lncRNA from 1 species